ACCCUCCUCUCUCCUCUCCUCCAACGGCUCAGCUGGCCGCCGCCCUCCUCUCUCGGUCUCUCCUCUCCUCCAACAGCUCAGCCGGCCGCCGCCCUCCUCUCUCGAUCUCUCUUCUUCUGGCUCCAACGGCUCAGCUGGCGCCACCGCCCUCCUCCCUCCUAUCCUCCAACAUCUCCGGCGCGUCUCUCCUCUCCUCAGCCGCGGAGGCAAAGCCGGCCGCUGACCGUGGAGGCACAACUGACCGCCGGCCGUGGAGGCACAGCAGACCUGCACCACCGCUGGCCGCCUACCCCACAGCAGAUCUGCACCCAAGACCAGCAACCAGCCAGCCAUCCUCUGCGGCUCCACUCUGCCAGCGCCCAAGACCAGCACUAGCAGCCAGCCAUCCUCCACCUCCACUACUCUCCAUUUGAUCAUUUGGAAAAUAAAAGGCAUGGUCUGAGUGAUUCUUAUCUUCUGCCAUCAGCAAUAAAAAGGCACAAAAGUGAGAUUAUAUGGCCAGGGCAUCCUGUAGAACAAUUCUAUCAUGUCCACCAUUAUGGUUACAAAUGCGGAUCACGGUUUGCGAGAGGAGGAUAAGGGCAUGACUAACCUGCCGAGCGACCUGGUUCUUGAGCCUAGAGGCCUGCUUCCAUAGUGCCUCCAUGGGGUAAUGGGGCGGGGUGGGCAGACGACAAAGUCGGGAUGAGACGGCGAAUUGUCCUGUGGAGGGGAGCCGACAAGGUACUGUCUCUUGUACUCCAUGUAGCAAUAAAAUGUAUUUAUAUGUUUACUAUAGUUCUGCUUGUGCGAGAAUGUAUAACAUUAUAACGUAUAAAUACACAUGAGACAUAACACAAUACUGGUACAGUUUUGCAACAAAAUCACUGAACAGUGAACAUAUAAAUUGGUCAGUUUGAUAUGACAAUAUGUACUGGGAAAUUUCUAUGAAAAGAGAACUAUUAUUUUCUGCCAGUAUAAUUCUAUAAAGUGCAAAUUGAAACCAAAGGCUAAACUGAAGUAACAGGCAUACCCUGGCAAACAGAUCUUCCCUCAUACAUGGAACCAAGUACUUCAAAGGCCAGAUAUCUAAAGUUCGGACAACACAACAAUUUGUUAACACACGGGUACUCAUUAACUUCACAGAAGUUAAGUUUGGGUGCACAAGGAAUCUAGCUACAACUUCAACUAAGAACUCAUAUGUGCUAAAUACACGAUCAACUGGGUUUCUUAGUACCGUUACAACAGAAGUUCUCUCCCUUGGCAGCUUGGAAGUUAAGCUAUAGUCAUCAUGGAUAACAACCAGCUUGCAAUCAGGAUGGCUGAUAAGUGAUAAGAAUACCAAAAUAUAAUUAAAAACUGUAAGCAACUUACUUUUUUUGCAUAAACUAAAUUGUAAUGGCAUGUCACGUUUGCUGUCAUAAUUAAAUAAAAUCUUAAUCACACAUUAAUUAGUAUACAUGCAAACAGGGUUCAUCCUUUCUCAUGCAGAUAUAGUAGAGUAAGUUAGUAACGUACUGUCAAACAAACCAUAUUUGACUUGCCUCCUCUUGUAUUCCAAUUUAACACUACAACCAUCAAUUUGGCAAAUAUCAGGGCCUUCUGUAAUUGGCUCAAGCAGGAAUUUCCUUCUGCAAUUGACAACAGGAGUUCAGCAACAUGACAGAUGAAUACAUAUAAUAGUAUAGGUGUAGCCACAAGCAUGCUCCUCCCUUUACAUGGAUCUAAACCAUCAAAUGAAGAUUUCUUUCUUAAAAACAAAAUAUGUUAGGUGCAAUGAACUAAUUGUAUCUCAAAAAACAAGAGCCUAGAAUAUUAUGACAUUAAAAAAAUCGUUGCGGCUUCUCAUAAACUAAAGUACACAUGAGUAUGAUCAUAAGAUAGGCCACAAGCUGUACUCACUUAACAUCUGAAUACUUCUGUGGAAUUAAACUAUUGCAAACUUGUACCAAAACACAUUAGGGCAAUCAACCAUAGCCGAUAAAAUAGGUUUGCGAUGUAUUCGUCUGCGAGCCUAGGACCCGGUACUGUAUCCACCAAAGACCCUUAAGAACAACCAUCAUCAUGGACUUUUUGCAUUACGCGUCACUAUGAUUCAGAACACUCCAUUGGGUUCAUCGAUCCCUACCUAGUGAGCUAAAAAAAACUUAGGAUGCACUCUGGGCAGAAUUGUGUGGCAGUAAGUGAGCUGUGGUGUUUGGAACUGAAUAGAUGUUAGUAUCGACAGCUGUCGGGAUAUUGAACAUUGAAUCUUGAAAUGACCACUCAUCUGAAAUUUGCAGAGUCGCUCGAGAUCUCCGCAUCAAUUUGGGACCCCAUAAUAAGGGGGAAAA